rnacentral:rRNA from 1 species
UACAGAGGGGGCAAGCGUUGUUCGGAAUUACUGAGCGUAAAGGGCGCGUAGGCGGCCUGUUAAGUCGAACGUGAAAUCCCCGGGCUCAACCCGAGAACUGCGUCCGAUACUGGCAGGCUUGAAUCCGGGAGAGGGAUGCGGAAUUCCAGGUGUAGCGGUGAAAUGCGUAGAUAUCUGGAGGAACACCGGUGGCGAAGGCGGCAUCCUGGACCGGCAUUGACGCUGAGGCGCGAAAGCCAGGGGAGCAAACGGG